rnacentral:rRNA from 1 species
GGGUUGUGAGGUUAAGCGACUAAGCGUACACGGUGGAUGCCCUGGCAGUCAGAGGCGAUGAAGGACGUGCUAAUCUGCGAAAAGCGUCGGUAAGGUGAUAUGAACCGUUAUAACCGGCGAUGUCCGAAUGGGGAAACCCAGUGCAAUUCGUUGCACUAUCGUUAACUGAAUACAUAGGUUAACGAGGCGAACCGGGGGAACUGAAACAUCUAAGUACCCCGAGGAAAAGAAAUCAACCGAGAUUCCCCCAGUAGCGGCGAGCGAACGGGGAGCAGCCCAGAGUCUGAAUCAGCUUGUGUGUUAGUGGAACGGUCUGGAAAGUCCGACGGUACAGGGUGAUAGUCCCGUACACCAAAAUGCACAGGCUGUGAACUCGAAGAGUAGGGCGGGACACGUGGUAUCCUGUCUGAAUAUGGGGGGACCAUCCUCCAAGGCUAAAUACUCCUGACUGACCGAUAGUGAACCAGUACCGUGAGGGAAAGGCGAAAAGAACCCCGGCGAGGGGAGUGAAAAAGAACCUGAAACCGUGUACGUACAAGCAGUGGGAGCACCUUCGGGUGUGACUGCGUACCUUUUGUAUAAUGGGUCAGCGACUUAUAUUCUGUAGCAAGGUUAACCGUAUAGGGGAGCCGCAGGGAAACCGAGUCUUAACUGGGCGUUAAGUUGCAGGGUAUAGACCCGAAACCCGGUGAUCUAGCCAUGGGCAGGUUGAAGGUUGGGUAACACUAACUGGAGGACCGAACCGACUAAUGUUGAAAAAUUAGCGGAUGACUUGUGGCUGGGGGUGAAAGGCCAAUCAAACCGGGAGAUAGCUGGUUCUCCCCGAAAGCUAUUUAGGUAGCGCCUCGUGAAUUCAUCUUCGGGGGUAGAGCACUGUUUCGGCUAGGGGGUCAUCCCGACUUACCAACCCGAUGCAAACUACGAAUACCGAAGAAUGUUAUCACGGGAGACACACGGCGGGUGCUAACGUCCGUCGUGAAGAGGGAAACAACCCAGACCGCCAGCUAAGGUCCCAAAGUCAUGGUUAAGUGGGAAACGAUGUGGGAAGGCACAGACAGCCAGGAUGUUGGCUUAGAAGCAGCCAUCAUUUAAAGAAAGCGUAAUAGCUCACUGGUCGAGUCGGCCUGCGCGGAAGAUGUAACGGGGCUAAACCAUGCACCGAAGCUGCGGCAGCGACACUAUGUGUUGUUGGGUAGGGGAGCGUUCUGUAAGCCUGCGAAGGUGUGCUGUGAGGCAUGCUGGAGGUAUCAGAAGUGCGAAUGCUGACAUAAGUAACGAUAAAGCGGGUGAAAAGCCCGCUCGCCGGAAGACCAAGGGUUCCUGUCCAACGUUAAUCGGGGCAGGGUGAGUCGACCCCUAAGGCGAGGCCGAAAGGCGUAGUCGAUGGGAAACAGGUUAAUAUUCCUGUACUUGGUGUUACUGCGAAGGGGGGACGGAGAAGGCUAUGUUAGCCGGGCGACGGUUGUCCCGGUUUAAGCAUGUAGGCUGGUUGUCCAGGCAAAUCCGGAUAAUCAAGGCUGAGGUGUGAUGACGAGGCACUACGGUGCUGAAGUAACAAAUGCCCUGCUUCCAGGAAAAGCCUCUAAGCAUCAGGUAACAUCAAAUCGUACCCCAAACCGACACAGGUGGUCAGGUAGAGAAUACCAAGGCGCUUGAGAGAACUCGGGUGAAGGAACUAGGCAAAAUGGUGCCGUAACUUCGGGAGAAGGCACGCUGGUGUGUAGGUGAAGCCCCUGCGGGUGGAGCUGAGACCAGUCGAAGAUACCAGCUGGCUGCAACUGUUUAUUAAAAACACAGCACUGUGCAAACACGAAAGUGGACGUAUACGGUGUGACGCCUGCCCGGUGCCGGAAGGUUAAUUGAUGGGGUUAUCCGUAAGGAGAAGCUCUUGAUCGAAGCCCCGGUAAACGGCGGCCGUAACUAUAACGGUCCUAAGGUAGCGAAAUUCCUUGUCGGGUAAGUUCCGACCUGCACGAAUGGCGUAAUGAUGGCCAGGCUGUCUCCACCCGAGACUCAGUGAAAUUGAACUCGCUGUGAAGAUGCAGUGUACCCGCGGCAAGACGGAAAGACCCCGUGAACCUUUACUAUAGCUUGACACUGAACAUUGAGCCUUGAUGUGUAGGAUAGGUGGGAGGCUUUGAAGCGUGGACGCCAGUCUGCGUGGAGCCAACCUUGAAAUACCACCCUUUAAUGUUUGAUGUUCUAACGUUGGCCCCUUACCGGGGUUGCGGACAGUGUCUGGUGGGUAGUUUGACUGGGGCGGUCUCCUCCCAAAGCGUAACGGAGGAGCACGAAGGUUAGCUAAUCCUGGUCGGACAUCAGGAGGUUAGUGCAAUGGCAUAAGCUAGCUUGACUGCGAGCGUGACGGCGCGAGCAGGUGCGAAAGCAGGUCAUAGUGAUCCGGUGGUUCUGAAUGGAAGGGCCAUCGCUCAACGGAUAAAAGGUACUCCGGGGAUAACAGGCUGAUACCGCCCAAGAGUUCAUAUCGACGGCGGUGUUUGGCACCUCGAUGUCGGCUCAUCACAUCCUGGGGCUGAAGUAGGUCCCAAGGGUAUGGCUGUUCGCCAUUUAAAGUGGUACGCGAGCUGGGUUUAGAACGUCGUGAGACAGUUCGGUCCCUAUCUGCCGUGGGCGCUGGAGAAUUGAGGGGGGCUGCUCCUAGUACGAGAGGACCGGAGUGGACGCAUCACUGGUGUUCGGGUUGUCAUGCCAAUGGCACUGCCCGGUAGCUAAAUGCGGAAGAGAUAAGUGCUGAAAGCAUCUAAGCACGAAACUUGCCCCGAGAUGAGUUCUCCCUGAGACUAUAAGUCUCCUGAAGGAACGUUAAAGACGAUGACGUUGAUAGGCCGGGUGUGUAAGCGCAGCGAUGCGUUGAGCUAACCGGUACUAAUGAACCGUGAGGCUUAACCUUACAACGCCGAAG